rnacentral:rRNA from 1 species
CCUACGGGAGGCAGCAGUGGGGAAUUUUGGACAAUGGGCGCAAGCCUGAUCCAGCUAUUCCGCGUGUGGGAUGACGGCCCUCGGGUUGUAAACCACUUUAGUAGAGAACGAAAAGGAGCUAUCGAAUAAAUAGCUCUGCUGACGGUACUCUAAGAAUAAGCACCGGUUAACUACGUGCCAGCAGCCGCGGUAAUACGUAGGGUGCGAGCGUUAAUCGGAAUUACUGGGCGGAAAGGGUGUGCAGGCGGGUGAGUAAGUCAGAUGUGAAAUCCCCGGGCGUAACCUGGGAACCGCAUAUGUGACUGGUUGGCUAGAGGGCGUCAGAGGGAGGUGGAAU